GACGAACGCUGGCGGCGUGCUUAACACAUGCAAGUCGAACGGAAAGGCCCUGCUUUUGUGGGGUGCUCGAGUGGCGAACGGGUGAGUAACACGUGAGUAACCUGCCCUUGACUUUGGGAUAACUUCAGGAAACUGGGGCUAAUACCGGAUAGGAGCUCCUGCUGCAUGGUGGGGGUUGGAAAGUUUCGGCGGUUGGGGAUGGACUCGCGGCUUAUCAGCUUGUUGGUGGGGUAGUGGCUUACCAAGGCGUUGACGGGUAGCCGGCCUGAGAGGGUGACCGGCAACAGUGGGAAGGAGAGAAGGCCCAGAGUCGUACGGGAGGCAGCAGGGGGGAAUAGUGCACAAUGGGCGAAAGCCUGAUGCAGCAACGGCGCGUGAGGGAAGAAGGCCGGCGGGUUGUAAACCGCUUGUAGCAGGGAAGAAGCGAAAGGGACGGGAAAUGAAGAAAAAGAGACGGCUAACUACGUG
rnacentral:rRNA from 1 species